rnacentral:lncRNA from 1 species
AUGUACAUUCGUAAGAUCAUGUGGCGACAUGUGCAAAAUUGUUCUGCAAAGAAGUUCUCAGAACCUCAACCACGUAGAAAAAAUAGAAUGUUAACUGUGGUUGCUGCUGCAGAGUCAACAAGCACCCAACACGUCUCAUCAGAUGUGAGGAAGAUGUUAAACACACUGAAGAAUGAUAAGAUUUCAUCUGAAGUCUGGAAUGAUUCCUUUAUACUGCAGCUGGCACAGAGUUUCUACUCUAAGAAGAAAAGGAAAACAAAACAAUUGGAUUAUGUCAAACUGAGGCUGAGGCAAAUGGGACGACUCCUGCUAACAUUAAAGACAAAGUCGAUUUGUAGCUUUAAAGAAGCUAUCAAACCCCAAAACUUCAGCAAAGUUGUUGAAGCUGUGAGAAAGCUCAGUGGCUUCAAUGAAGAGACAAAGUCCUGUGAUACACCAAGUCUUAUGAAGAAUUUGGGAAAGUCGCUGAAGAGAAUUGGUGACAUUAACUUUGCCAGAGCUUGGACAGAUGAUGCUGAUAGAGAGACGAUCCAGGAUGCAAAGACAUUCAUGCACUUGUGUGACAAAGAAUGGGGCUUUGUCACUUUAAAAAAAACAAAAGUAAACAACACGACAACCAUACCGUUCAUACAUGACGUGCAGCUUUUCUAUCGGUGCAUGGAGAAGACCGCAGCUUCUGCAGUAAAAAGUCUAACAAUGUACCAAAGCUCUCCGGUUUACACUGCGCUUCUUACAGUGACAGUUGCACAAAUGUCAGUCUUAAACAAAAAUAUGGCUGAAGUUUCAAAAGUGACGCUCAAGUCAUUCAAGGAACGGGACGAGACCGAGCUCCAUGAAGGCGCUGCUGUUGGCCAGUCACAGUUUGAACAAAUUAUGUCCAAGCACACUGUGAAGAUCAACGUUAUGAGCAAAAGGGGCCAAAAGGUUGCUGUUACAUUGACCCCUAAAGUGCUCACAGCAUUAACACUGCUUGUGUACAAGAGAGAAGCAUGUGGUGUACAUGUAAACAAUCCCUUCUUAUUUGCAAGAUCUGAUGCAAGCCGUACAGGCUUCCACCGGGGACACCGGUGCGUCACCACUUUCGUAGCUCGUAGUGGUGUAAAGAACACGGCGAACUUCCGGUUUGUGUUUUUUCAUAAACUCAUUGCAACAGUUUUCCAGAUUGUCAGCCUCACGAAUGACGAGCUUGAUCAGCUAGCCAAACUGUUGGGCCGUGACAUUCAGACCAACAGAGAGUAUUAUCAGACGCCAGAGGCAGCUGUUGACAUUGUAAAGAUCUCAGAGCUACUAUCAGCAAUGGAGAAUGGAUCUCUUGAAAGAUUUGAAGGGAAAUCUCUCGAGGAAAUUGAGAUUCCAGGUAUGUGUCCAGUUCUGUACUCAAAGGUGUUGAUGUGGAGUCUUUUUUAA